GAGCGAACAGAGAAGGAGCUUGCUCCUUUGACGUUAGCGGCGGACGGGUGAGUAACACGUGGGCAACCUACCUUAUAGUUUGGGAUAACUCCGGGAAACCGGGGCUAAUACCGAAUAAUCUAUUUUACUUCAUGGUGAAAUACUGAAAGACGGUUUCGGCUGUCGCUAUAAGAUGGGCCCGCGGCGCAUUAGCUAGUUGGUGAGGUAACGGCUCACCAAGGCGACGAUGCGUAGCCGACCUGAGAGGGUGAUCGGCCACACUGGGACUGAGACACGGCCCAGACUCCUACGGGAGGCAGCAGUAGGGAAUCUUCCACAAUGGGCGAAAGCCUGAUGGAGCAACGCCGCGUGAGUGAAGAAGGUUUUCGGAUCGUAAAACUCUGUUGUAAGGGAAGAACAAGUACAGUAGUAACUGGCUGUACCUUGACGGUACCUUAUUAGAAAGCCACGGCUAACUACGUGCCAGCAGCCGCGGUAAUACGUAGGUGGCAAGCGUUGUCCGGAAUUAUUGGGCGUAAAGCGCGCGCAGGCGGUCCUUUAAGUCUGAUGUGAAAGCCCACGGCUCAACCGUGGAGGGUCAUUGGAAACUGGGGGACUUGAGUGCAGAAGAGGAAAGUGGAAUUCCAAGUGUAGCGGUGAAAUGCGUAGAGAUUUGGAGGAACACCAGUGGC
rnacentral:rRNA from 1 species